CUUGGUCAUUUAGAGGAAGUAAAAGUCGUAACAAGGUUUCCGUAGGUGAACCUGCGGAAGGAUCAUUCAUAAUAAGUGUUUUAUGGCACUUUUUAAAUCCAUAUCCACCUUGUGUGCAAUGUCAGUCGAUCUUCUUCAUGGAGAUCGACCAAACAUCAACCUUUAUCUUUUAACUCUUUGUCUGAAAAAUAUUAUGAAUAAACAAUUCAAAAUACAACUUUCAACAACGGAUCUCUUGGCUCUCGCAUCGAUGAAGAACGCAGCGAAAUGCGAUACGUAAUGUGAAUUGCAGAAUUCAGUGAAUCAUCGAAUCUUUGAACGCAUAUUGCGCUCUUUGGUAUUCCGAAGAGCAUGCUUGUUUGAGUAUCAGUAAACACCUCAAAGCUUUUGGAUUUUUUAAUCGAAAAGCUUUGGACUUGAGCAAUCCCAACACCAAUCUUUUUGAGAUCGGUGGCGGGUUGCUUGAAAUGCAGGUGCAGCUGGACAUUCUCCUGAGCUAAAAGCAUAUUCAUUUGGUCCCGUCAAACGGAUUAUUACUUUUGCUGCAGCUAACAUAAAGGGAGUUUGACCGUAUUGGCUGACUGAUGCAGGAUUUUACAAGGGUCGGCAACGAUUCUUGUUAAACUCGAUCUCAAAUCAAGUAAGACUACCCGCUGAACUUAAGCAUAUCAUUAAGCGGAGGA
rnacentral:rRNA from 1 species